UGUUUGUGAUAAACCCUUGAACUUGUGAGUUCCUUCAUCUGCUAUCAGUGCUAAUUUUAGCUGGUACAUUUUGGAGAUCACAGAUUUAGCCAACUAAUUUUGUGUUCAAUUUUUUCUUUUUGUUCUUAUGAUACGGAACAAGCAUUUACUGUAAAUAAUAUUAAAUCUAUGGACGAAUUGAUAUAAAUAUAUAAACAAUGUAAUAACUCCUAGUCAGUCAUAUGAAUUUCAUAGUUCACUCAAUGCUCAGCAUUGAUUUUGGUAGGAAUGUUUUUCAGAAAUUAUAGACUCAGCCGACUUAUUUUCUGUUCAGCUUUUCUUUGUAUUCUUGAAGCACAGAAGUAGCAUGCAGAAAUAUGUACUGUGAACUAUAGAAAACUUAAUGAUAUAUACUUUUAGGCAACUACAAAAGUCGUACUUGUCUAAUGGACAAUGGACAUGGUUUAAUAGUCUGCAGGAAGUUACAGCUAUUAUCUUCAAACCGCAAAUCAAGUUGCAGCAUAG
rnacentral:misc_RNA from 1 species